rnacentral:tRNA from 1 species
GGCUCCAUAGUGUAGUGGUUAGCACGUCUGCUUUACACGCAGAAGGUCCUUGGUUCGCGCCCCAGGUGGAGCCA